rnacentral:rRNA from 1 species
CCUACGGGAGGCAGCAGUGAGGAAUAUUGGUCAAUGGGCUUACGCCUGAACCAGCCAAGUCGCGUGAGGGAAGACUGCCCUAUGGGUUGUAAACCUCUUUUGUCAGGGAGCAACGCCGGCUACGUGUAGCCGGACUGAGAGUACCUGAAGAAAAAGCAUCGGCUAACUCCGUGCCAGCAGCCGCGGUAAUACGGAGGAUGCGAGCGUUAUCCGGAUUUAUUGGGUUUAAAGGGUGCGUAGGCGGAGCGUUAAGUCAGUGGUCAAAUUGAGGGGCUCAACCCCUUCCCGCCAUUGAAACUGGCGCUCUUGAGUGGAAGAGAAGUAUGCGGAAUGCGUGGUGUAGCGGUGAAAUGCAUAGAUAUCACGAAGAACUCCGAUUGCGAAGGCAGCUUACUAAACUGCCACUGACAUUGAUGCUCGAAAGUGUGGGUAUCAAACAGGAUUAGAUACCCCAGUAGUC